GUCACUGAAGUGAGGACCAGACAGACGGUUACUAGACAGGUCAAGUAUCUUCAGGGACGGGUUAUUCCUUAUUCCAGAUGCCAACUGGAUGCAGGAAGUGUCUGGUAGACGAUUAUUACCCAAUCUUAAUUCCUCUAUCCUGCAGGCCGGACUGGACAGAGCCUCCAUCAAGUCACUGAAGUGAGGACCAUACAGACGGUUACGAGACAGGUCAAGUAUCUUCAGGGACGGGUUAUUCCUUAUUCCAGAUGCCAACUGGAUGCAGGAAGUGUCUGGUAGACGAUUAUUACACAAACUCAGAUUCUGCAGGUUAUGUAAUCCUGGAGCAAGUCUUUCUAAUCCUUCAUUGUCUAAGGAACAUCCAUAUAG